CGUAAAGGCAGCAGCCCGGCCUUGAAGCCGGAUCUCGCGAUGUUUCAGGGUGAGCCGGACGCAGGCGUGCCUGCGCAGUGCGCGGAGGAGUGCUGUUCGUGUGUUCGAGUCCCUGGGUUGCUUCCUGGGGUCUGUGGUGCUGGGUGUGCUAUCUGCGUGUGAUUCUCUAGCGAGAGAUUGUGGGCGAGUGACCGAGUGGGCAAGGGGCCGUCACUGUGUGUGCGUGAUUUUGACAGUGUGUGGUGGUAGCUUCUGACUCCGCGUGGGUCGUUGAAUGUAUGACUGGGACCGUUUAGCGGUGGAUACACAACUGUGUGCGGCUGUGGAAGAUUGCCUCAUCCGUUACGUUCCCAUUUCCGUGGAACAACAGUUUUACCAGAAGGUUUCGAAGGAACCUUAAAGUUUGGAAGCGCGGCUUUGGUGUCAUCAAAUGUGAGAAGCCCUGGACUUUACACAUCCCGAGCCAGUGUGAUCCAGUAUGAUUGGGAGUCCGAGUGCCAGAUGCCGGUCAGGACCUGUUAUGCUGGGUCUCAGAAUGCGGAAACUCUCCCUGUCCGAGGUGGAACAGUUUGUCCUUGAGUGAGGACUGGAGUCCUGAGUGACUCUUUUGAUUUGAUCCUGUUUCCCUCAAACCUGAGAUGGGAGCCUCACUGUAUUGCCCAGGCUGGUCUUGAACUCCGGAGCUCAAGUGAUCGUCUUGCUUCAGCCUUGCAAAAUGAUGGUGAAGCUGCAUCAUUGUCUGGGAUGGAGUCCCUGUCUGACCGGGCCAUGUUGUAUGUUCCUUGCUGUACACGUGGUUGACAAAGAAAAGGGAAGAUGGAGCUGCGAUGUUGGACAUGCCUGGCCCCCAGGACAUACAGCCCUGCCGAGCAAAUAAUGAACGUAACUCACAAACUUCCUGCUUAUCAUCAAACGCACGCAUCCACUUAUCAUCAAACACCUCGGGUGACAGAAGAAUGCAGGUCAGCUCCCUGCUGCCUUGGCAUUAUCAAUCAGCCCAGGAACCAUCCUAUAAAAUCUCCAGCAAGCCUUUGUUUCCUUGCAGUCAGCUCCUCUUCCACUGAUUCUGCCUGUUGCUCCCUGAUAACAUACUUUGAUACUGUCUUUAAUAAAUCUGCCUUUCUUCACCCACAGCUGUCUUGGUAAGUUCUUUUACCUCUGUGCCACCAGCCCAAACAGUUGCUGCUCACCUGAAACAAAGAAUAAAUGUGGUUUUUAAGCAAAUCAAAGUUUACUUAG
rnacentral:lncRNA from 10 species